AUGGAUCGGAUCGUCGGUAGCAAGUACAAGCUGGGCCGCAAGAUCGGGAGCGGCUCCUUCGGGGAGAUAUAUCUCGCCACGCAUGUCGACACGUACGAGAUUGUAGCCGUCAAGAUCGAAAACAGCAAAACCAACCAUCCCCAAUUGUUAUACGAGGCCAAACUGUAUAAUGCUCUUCAGGGAGGGACUGGUAUUGCAAACAUAAAAUGGUGUGGCAUUGAUGGCGAAGAAAAUGUUCUUGUUAUUGAUUUGCUUGGGCCAAGCCUUGAGGAUCUGUUUGUUUAUUGUGGCCGGAGAUUCUCACUGAAGACAGUUUUGAUGUUGGCAGAUCAGAUGAUAACAAGAAUAGAGUUUUUGCAUUCUAAGGGGUACUUGCACAGGGACAUCAAGCCCGACAACUUUCUUAUGGGCCUUGGUCGGAAAGCUAACCAGGUCUACAUCAUUGACUUCGGACUUGCCAAGAGAUACCGUGACUCAACCACGAAUCGCCAUAUACCCUAUAGAGAAAAUAAAAAUUUGACUGGCACAGCUCGCUAUGCAAGCUGCAACACUCAUCUUGGGAUUGAGCAAAGCCGAAGGGAUGAUCUGGAGUCCAUUGGAUAUGUUCUCUUGUAUUUUCUAAGGGGAAGUCUUCCUUGGCAGGGUUUAAAAGCUGCCACAAAGAAGCAGAAAUAUGACAAAAUAAGUGAGAAGAAGCUUUCAACACCUAUCGAGGUUUUGUGUAAAACCCAUCCUGUGGAAUUUGCUUCUUAUUUCCACUAUUGCCAUUCAUUGACAUUUGAUCAACGGCCAGACUACGGUUUUCUGCGACGGCUCUUUAGAGACCUGUCGGACCGUGAAGGGCACCAAUUCGAUCAUGUCUUUGACUGGACGCUGUUGAAGUGUAAGCAAACCCAGAAGGUGAAGGCUCAACAGCAAGAUCCUGGUGUAAGUAGCAGGCCGGUUGCAAAGAAUAUGGACAAACACCAAGUUAGUGGUUUACGUGCAGCUGAAGCUUCUUGUCAGCUUGAAGCAGAACAACGCCCAGUAAUCAGAAUGCAAAUAAGAUCUACUGCUGAGAACAGCCGUUCAAAUAAUCGACAUUCUGAUAAAUUGAGGGUGAGUGCUAGCACUGAUAAGGAAUUGCUGCAAUCAACAUCAUUUGGCCAUGCUGGUGCCCCAAGGAAGAACGGAUCAAUCUCCAAAACACCAUGGCUUGUCGAUCCCAACUCAGGACCUUCAAACCACCUUUAG
rnacentral:rRNA from 1 species